rnacentral:lncRNA from 1 species
UAAGUUCUUAGUCGGGGUUGUUGAAAGCAAAACAAGAUUUAGUCGACACUAGAAUAAAGUUUAUGCAUAUAAGUAGCAAAUUAUAGUCCCUCUAAUGUAAAUUUUCCAAUGACCCUGAUUUGAGAUGAAAAGUUAAUUAGUGUCAUAAAAAACAGACCCAAACUUAUUCAAAUAUUGAACCAUCUUCUUGAUUAUGGCUCAAUCUCACUAAAAAUCCGGAGAAGAGAAUAAUAUGUGCAUCGCUCU